UACGGAAGGCAGCAGUGGGGAAUAUUGCACAAUGGGCGCAAGCCUGAUGCAGCCAUGCCGCGUGUAUGAAGAAGGCCUUCGGGUUGUAAAGUACUUUCAGUCGUGAGGAAGGUGUUAAGGUUAAUAACCUUAGCAAUUGACGUUAGCGACAGAAGAAGCACCGGCUAACUCCGUGCCAGCAGCCGCGGUAAUACGGAGGGUGCGAGCGUUAAUCGGAAUUACUGGGCGUAAAGGGCACGCAGGCGGUUAAUUAAGUUGGAUGUGAAAUCUCCGGGCUUAACCUGGGAAUGGCAUUCAAGACUGGUUAGCUAGAGUCUUGUAGAGGGGGUAGAAUUCCAUGUGUAGCGGUGAAAUGCGUAGAGAUGUGGAGGAAUACCGGUGGCGAAGGCGGCCCCUGGACAAAGACUGACGCUCAUGUGCGAAAGCGUGGGGAGCAAACAGGGAUUAGAUACC
rnacentral:rRNA from 1 species